GUCAAUAUUUUGAGAUACUAUCUCAAUAUUUUGAGAUACUAAGUCAAUAUUUUGAGAUACUAUCUCAAUAUUUUGAGAUACUAAGUGAAUAUUUUGAGAUACUAAGUCACAGCUGUACAGCCUGACUUAGUAUCUCAAAAUAUUGACUUAGUAUCUCAAAAUAUUGAGAUAGCAAUUUACUUAAUAAUAAUAAAAAAAAAAUUGCUGGAGGAUUUUUAUUUUUUAGGUGGCGGGAAUGGGCUUCCAUAAUAGAGAGCUGGAUUUUAUCAGCACAUUUAUUUCAGCAUGCUUACCAUAUUUUUCAGACAUUGCAUUAAGUGACACUAGUUAGGAUGCCUACAUUGAAGGGAGCAAGGGUGUCACCAUGUUUCCCUUCUAAUAGGGAAGCUGGGAGAAGCGCUAAGUAAACAAAACUGUAAUUCUUAAAAAAAAAAGAAAAGAAAAAAAUGAGUUCCGGAUGUUAAUCUACACAGAAUUCUCUCCUGAAAACUGUUUAUGUGGGCUCCACACACUACAGUUUUACUGCUGCUGUAGUCUUUACCAUCAUUUAAUCAAGCAAUACACGGACUGCAAGUUCUGUAAGUUCUGUUUGAAUACAAAAGACACUUUCAAGUUCUUCUUACAGCUUUUAUACGUAAUACCUUUAUUUAAAAAAAUACAUUCAUUGAGUUUAGGUAUAAGCUUUAAGUGUCGAUGUUACUUUUAGCUGGUCGCUAUUCUGUUCUCCUCUGCAGGCUCCAAACACUACAGUUUUACUGCUGCUGUAGUCUUUCCCAUUACAUUUGCAAGUUCUUCUUACAGCUGUUAUACAUAAUACCUUUAUUUAAAAACACAUUUAUUUAAAAAAUCACACUAAUUCCAGUUUUGAAGUAAAUGGAGAUGUUAGUUUUAGUUGGUCACUGUUCUGUUCUUAUCUGCAGGCUCCACACACUACAGUUUUACUGCUGCUGUAGUCUUUCCCAUCAUUUAAUCAAGCGAUACACAGACUGCAAGUUCUGUAACUUCUGAUUAAAUAUAUGAGACUUUUUUUAGUUCUUCUUACAGCUGCUAUGCUUAAUACCUUUUUUUAAAGAAACACACAAAUUGAGUUUAAGUAAUGGCCAUUCUGCUAUUCUAUUCUCUGCAGGCUCCACACACUACAGUUUUACUGCUGCUGUAGUCUUUACCACUAUUUAAUCAAGCAAUACACGGACUGUAAGUUCUGUAACUUCUGUUUGACUAUAAAAGACACUUUUUUUUCUUACAGCUGUUAUACGUAAUACCUUUAUUUAAUACCUUUAUUGAACACAUUUAUUCAAGUUUAGUGGUAUAAAAAAGUUUAUUCAGUUGUAUAUUUGCCUCUUUUUAAAGACGUAUGCCAGCAGCUGCUGGAUUCUGUGUUAUUUCAAGUCGAGAUGUUCUGAGCUGUUCACUGCAUCGCUGCUGCUGCUGCUGGUGGUACUGAAUCGGACGCUGGUGAUUACUGAGUACUGAGUGCUGAUAAUGCCUCAAUUCUGAGGUCAGUGCUGACUGGCCAGUCCUGUGGCGUCACCAUCAUUUGAGCAUAAUCUGCUCAAAUCUGAUAUUAUCGAUAUCCUACUUAUAAUAACUUCCUUUUACAUUUAAAAAUGCUGAACAAAGCUGUUUAUAAGCUAAAGCAACACAAAACUUCCAUAUACUUAAAAAAAUCAAAGCUAAAACACUUUAUGAAGCUAACUUAUCUAAUG
ensembl:lncRNA